CUGCGAGUUCGCGGGAGAGUAGGUUAUUGCCAGGGUUUUUAUUUUUAUACUUUAAACUUUGAUUUUAUUUUUAUGUUUUUUAAAUAUUGGUGUUUUUGAAUGUGUUGUUUAAAUAACAUAAGAAAUAAAAUAUAUAUAUUGACAUGCAUUAAACAAAGAUAUAUAUUAUUUUAUGUUGUAUAAAUAAAUUGGCAAAAUAGAGAUGGAAGAUAAAAAUAUGGUCAAAGUAAUAAGAGUCUAUGGUGAAUGCCUAGGA
rnacentral:misc_RNA from 1 species